GUGGUUGUUGUUUUGGAGGUGAUGGCUUUGAUGGAGAGAAAGUGAUGGCGUUGAUGCAUUAUGUGGGGUGAUAGCCGUAAUGAUUGAAAUGCCAUAAUUGUGUGAUGACUAGUU
rnacentral:sRNA from 12 species